AAUUAAACGGCCGCGGUACCCUAACCGUGCAAAGGUAGCGUAAUCAUUUGUCUAUUAAUUGUAGACCCGUAUGAAAGGCAUAAUGAGGGUUUAACUGUCUCUUUUAGUAAAUCAAUUAAACUGAUCUCCUAGUCCAAAAGCUAGGAUACCAUCAUAAGACCAGAAGACCCUGUGAAACUUUAACUAAAAUAUUAAAGCCUAUAAUAACUACUUUAGGUUGGGGCGACCUUGGAAAAUAAAAGAACUUCCACACACAUAUUAUAUAAUAAUAUAUAACCGGCCAACAAGCCUACAACGACCCAGCACAGCUGACAAUUGAACCAAGCUACUCCAGGGAUAACAGCGCUAUCUUCUUCAAGAGCCCAUAUCAAAAAGAAGGUUUACGACCUCGAUGUUGGAUCAGGACAUCCUAAUGGUGCAACCGCUAUUAAGGGUUCGUUUGUUCAACGAUUAAUAGUCCUACGUG
rnacentral:rRNA from 1 species